rnacentral:rRNA from 1 species
AACGAACGCUGGCGGCAUGCCUAACACAUGCAAGUCGAACGAGACCUUCGGGUCUAGUGGCGCACGGGUGCGUAACGCGUGGGAAUCUGCCCUUGGGUUCGGAAUAACAGUUAGAAAUGACUGCUAAUACCGGAUGAUGUCUUCGGACCAAAGAUUUAUCGCCCAGGGAUGAGCCCGCGUAGGAUUAGCUAGUUGGUGGGGUAAAGGCCUACCAAGGCGACGAUCCUUAGCUGGUCUGAGAGGAUGAUCAGCCACACUGGGACUGAGACACGGCCCAGACUCCUACGGGAGGCAGCAGUGGGGGAAUAUUGCGCAAUGGCGAAAGCCUGACGCAGCGACGCCGCGUGGGUGAUGAAGGCCUUCGGUCGUAAGACCCUGUCGCAGGGGAAGGAAGUAAAGACG